UACGUAGGGUCCGAGCGUUAAUCGGAAUUACUGGGCGUAAAGCGUGCGCAGGCGGUUUUGUAAGACUGUCGUGAAAUCCCCGGGCUUAACCUGGGAACUGCGCUUGUAACUGGCAAGCUAGAGUGUGGCAGAGGGGGGUGGAAUUCCACGUGUAGCAGUGAAAUGCGUAGAGAUGUGGAGGAACACCGAUGGCGAAGGCAGCCCCCUGGGCUAACACUGACGCUCAUGCACGAAAGCGUGGGGAGCAAACAGG
rnacentral:rRNA from 1 species